CGUAGGUGGCAAGCGUUGUCCGGAAUUAUUGGGCGUAAAGGGCGUGUAGGUGGAUUCUUAAGUCGUGUGUCUAAGUGCGGGGCUCAACCCCGUAUAGGCGCAGGAAACUGGGAAUCUUGAGUGCAGGAGAGGAAAGUGGAAUUCCCAGUGUAGCGGUGAAAUGCGUAGAUAUUGGGAGGAACACCAGUGGCGAAGGCGACUUUCUGGACUGUGUCUGACACUGAGGCGCGAAAGCUAGGGGAGCGAACGGGAUUAGAUACCCCGGUAGUCCUAGCCGUAAACGAUGGGUACUAGGUGUAGAGGGUAUCGACCCCUUCUGUGCCGGAGUUAACGCAAUAAGUACCCCGCCUGGGGAGUACGGCCGCAAGGUUG
rnacentral:rRNA from 1 species